rnacentral:rRNA from 1 species
CUAUUCAGGGAUUUCUGGUUGUAAAUACCUCCAAUUGCAUUGGAUUUGGUCUGAUCUUGGAAACUAAGCAGGGUCGGCCCUGGUUGGUACUUGGAUGGGAGUCCGCCAAUAAAUACCAGGCUCUGUUUCAA